AAACUUACCAAGCACCCCCUAAGCACCAAACUUGCUUGUCGUCUUUCCCAUGGCUGUUUGGCGUGGGCUCCACCGUGGUUGGACGCAGUGUUCACCCUUGCAAUAAUGCGACUUCAGAAUUAGGACAUGGUGGGCUUGCCAUUUCUGCCACAAUCCUUGGCUAUCCUUCCCUAUUAUAUACCUCCUCCGAUCCGAUCCUUCACAAAAAUCAUAGCACACUCAUUCGCCAUCCAGACCCAACAAGAGCUCAAGCUCAGGUCGCUCAUGGAAGCAGCAGCUCGCACCACCCUUCUCCAUUGAUCCUAGAGCGCAGCCUCUCUCAAAGAAGCUUCAUUUCAGACAGAGCUCGCCGUGCUCUCCAAUGGAGGCGCCUCCUUCAUCUCUAGCCACGGCCACCUAUGACGACGACGACUACAUCGUCAACCUGUCGCUGACGCUGGGCCCGACCUCGCCGCUGACGCUGGGCCCGACCUCGCCGCAACCCUCCUCCCCUGACAAUGCCGCCGCGAUCGCGGCUACUGGUAAUGGCAGUGUUGAUGGAGGAGGAGGUGGUGGCAGCGGCAGAGGUGGUGUGAGGCUCUUCCCUUGCCUCUUCUGCAACAAGAAGUUCCUCAAGUCGCAGGCGCUAGGGGGACACCAGAAUGCACACAAGAAAGAGAGGAGCGUCGGAUGGAACGCUCACCUCUACCUCUCGCCGGAGACGUCCACCGUGCCCAACAUAGUUACGCCGAUUAGCCAAACAUC
rnacentral:lncRNA from 1 species